rnacentral:rRNA from 2 species
UAAGUAUAAGCAAUUAUACGGCGAAACUGCGAAUGGCUCAUUAUAUAAGUUAUCGUUUAUUUGAUAGUACCUUACUACUUGGAUAACCGUGGUAAUUCUAGAGCUAAUACAUGCUGAAAAUCCCGACUUACGGAGGGAUGUAUUUAUUAGAUUAAAAACCAAUGCCCUCUGGGCUCUCUGGUGAUUCAUGAUAACUUCUCGAAUCGCACGGCCUUGCGCCGGCGAUGGUUCAUUCAAAUUUCUUCCCUAUCAACUUUCGAUGUUUGGGUAGUGGCCAAACAUGGUUGCAACGGGUAACGGAGGGUUAGGGCUCGACCCCGGAGAAGGAGCCUGAGAAACGGCUACUACAUCCAAGGAAGGCAGCAGGCGCGCAAAUUACCCAAUCCCGACACGGGGAGGUAGUGACAAUAAAUACUGAUACAGGGCUCUUUUGGGUCUUGUAAUUGGAAUGAGUACAAUUUAAAUCCCUUAACGAGGAACAAUUGGAGGGCAAGUCUGGUGCCAGCAGCCGCGGUAAUUCCAGCUCCAAUAGCGUAUAUUAAAGUUGUUGUGGUUAAAAAGCUCGUAGUUGAACCUUGGGCCUGGCUGGCCGGUCCGCCUCACCGCGUGCACUGGUCCGGCCGGGCCUUUCCCUCUGCGGAACCCCAUGCCCUUCACUGGGCGUGGCGGGGAAACAGGACUUUUACUUUGAAAAAAUUAGAGUGCUCCAGGCAGGCCUAUGCUCGAAUACAUUAGCAUGGAAUAAUGAAAUAGGACGUGCGGUUCUAUUUUGUUGGUUUCUAGGACCGCCGUAAUGAUUAAUAGGGACAGUCGGGGGCAUCAGUAUUCAAUUGUCAGAGGUGAAAUUCUUGGAUUUAUUGAAGACUAACUACUGCGAAAGCAUUUGCCAAGGAUGUUUUCAUUAAUCAGGAACGAAAGUU